GCCCGGCGCGCGGGGCCGGCGCGCCCAACAGGUCCCGGGCGGGAAGGGCAGCGGGGAGCGCUGCUCGGGCCCUCAGGGCUCUCAGCCGGGCCGGGGCAGCGGGGGGCCCUGUGAAAAACAAUAUGGGGCCAUGUAAUUAAAGACUCUCAUAAUGAGCUCAAAUCUUUAUUUCCCUGAAGGACCAAACCCUUGCCUAUGUGUUUUAACACUUUGGAAAAAAUCCCCAAACCCUACAAAAACCAUCACAACUGUCAGUAACUUGAAAUUUUAUGCCGUUCCUUACACCUCCUGCAACACGGACUAUUAAGGACAAGGACUAAAUGCAGCAAAGUCACCUACUGUCUCUUCUACAUUUUGUAAAGGAUGAAGCUUUUAUCAAAUUCACCUUUUUUGUGAUUUUUGUAUUGCUUUCCUUGUUCUUGUAAUUACACAAUUCAAAUGCAACAUUCAAAAGGGGUAAAUGCUCCUCAGAAACAGCUUUCUCUCUCUACCCAUUGGUUACU